rnacentral:rRNA from 1 species
GUAGGUGGCAAGCGUUGUCCGGAAUUAUUGGGCGUAAAGCGCGCGCAGGCGGUUCUUUAAGUCUGAUGUGAAAGCCCACGGGCUCAACCGUGGAGGGUCAUUGGAAACUGGAGAACUUGAGUACAGAAGAGGAAAGGGGAAUUCCACGUGUAGCGGUGAAAUGCGUAGAGAUGUGGAGGAACACCAGUGGCGAAGGCGGCUUUCUGGUCUGUAACUGACGCUGAGGCGCGAAAGCGUGGGGAGCAAACAGGAUUAGAUACCCUGGUAGUCCACGCCGUAAACGAUGAGUGCUAAGUGUUAGGGGGUUUCCGCCCCUUAGUGCUGCAGCUAACGCAUUAAGCACUCCGCCUGGGGAGUACGGCCGCAAAGGCUG